UACGGAGGAUCCAAGCGUUAUCCGGAAUCAUUGGGUUUAAAGGGUCCGUAGGUGGAUAAUUAAGUCAGGGGUGAAAGUUUGCAGCUCAACUGUAAAAAUUGCCUUUUGAUACUGGUUAUCUUGAAUUAUUGUGAAGUGGUUAGAAUAUGUAGUGUAGCGGUGAAAUGCAUAGAUAUUACAUAGAAUACCAAUUGCGAAGG
rnacentral:rRNA from 1 species